rnacentral:rRNA from 1 species
UACGUAGGGGGCUAGCGUUGUCCGGAAUCAUUGGGCGUAAAGAGCGUGUAGGCGGUCCGGUAAGUCCGCUGUGAAAGUCGGGGGCUCAACCCUCGAAUGCCGGUGGUAUACUGGUCGGCUAGAGUACGGAAGAGGCGAGUGGAAUUCCUGGUGUAGCGGUGAAAUGCGCAGAUAUCAGGAGGAACACCUAUUGCGAAGGCAGCUCGCUGGGACGUAACUGACGCUGAGACGCGAAAGCGUGGGGGAGCAAACAGG